CCUACGGGCGGCAGCAGUGAGGAAUAUUGGUCAAUGGCCGGAAGGCUGAACCAGCCACGCCGCGUGAAGGUCAGUGCUCUUCGGGUUUUAAACUCCUUUUGUGCGGGAGCAUUAAUGGUCACGCGUGGCCAGACGACAGUACCGAACGAAUAAGCAUCGGCUAACUCCGUGCGAGCGGCCGCGGUAAUACGGGGGGUGCAUGCGUUAUCCGGAUUUAUUGGGUUGAAAGGGUGCGUAGGCUGGGAGGUAAGUCAUCGUGUGAAUGCCCCCGCUCAAAGUGAUGAAGUGCCAUUGAUACUGUGUUGCUGGAGUGCGGGUGCGGUGGGAGGAAUGUGUGGUGUAGCGGUGAAAUGCAUAGAUAUCA
rnacentral:rRNA from 1 species